rnacentral:rRNA from 1 species
CCGCACGGGUGAGUAACACGUAUCCAACCUGCCGUCUACUCUUGGCCAGCCUUCUGAAAGGAAGAUUAAUCCAGGAUGGCAUCAUGGGUUCACAUGUCCGCAUGAUUAAAGGUAUUUUCCGGUAGACGAUGGGGAUGCGUUCCAUUAGAUAGUAGGCGGGGUAACGGCCCACCUAGUCAACGAUGGAUAGGGGUUCUGAGAGGAAGGUCCCCCACAUUGGAACUGAGACACGGUCCAA